GUUAAUUCUACUACAGGUUAGGAAGAAAACGGGUUUUCUUAUGGGCGAGUUUGGCACAGGGAAAAUUUCUGCCGCUAUGUGCGCUGGCGUAGCGAAAGGGUGCACAACACUGCCAUUUUAUGAGGGUGAACGUGAGAAAACCGCAUUGAAGUCAAAUAAAAUAGUCGGUAUGGUAUUUAGUUAUGUGCUUUUUGUUUGCAAGAAUUAUAUUGAACAAGUCUUCCGUUAAGAAUGUGUGGAUUUCACAACUUUAUGAAUACGUAAAUAAAAACUAUACUGCGUUUUUGUUUCGCUGUGAGCAAUCUGCAUAUGAAGGCUGUUGAUGGUGAAAGAAACAAUUCUGGCUGAUAUUUGGUGGAUAAUUCCCAUGUGUCAAUAUACUCGAAGGAACCAAGAAGUGUCUACAUAAGAAAUAAAGAAUUUUCCAUGUUCCAAUACAGGAAAAUCUUUAUUUUUGUUAAGUGCAGUUUAUGAAUAGAAGCAAAUAUUUCUUUUAAUGUUUUAUUAUUACUGUAUUGUUUUUAUAUCAGUUAUUAUAAUAAUUAACUAAACAAAUAAUUCUGAGUAGCCUAUUUGUUAUGUACAGACAUAAUAUUGAAAUAUUUCAAAAUUUAGAGUUUUACCUUUUCAUCAUCUGAUCCAACAGUCAGGCCUUUCCAUGGUUUGUUGUUGUCUAGUAUGGAAUAAACUUGUGCAACUUUUUCUAUGUAAUUUACGGUGCCAGAAAUAUUUUCUAGACCAGGCUUGUUACUGUAAAACUUCAAAGCUGCAGCUGUUUCCAUUGUGAAAAGCUAAAAGCAUGAAAAUUUCAUUAUAAUUUUUACAGCAAUAAUAAAUUAUUUUUUUUAAGGUGAGUUUCAUGUAAGUUUCUAACCAGUUUUAAUCAUGUAAUUACCCUCAAUGUAUUGUGUUUUUUGUGAUAUGUAAAUUAAAUUAUUAAGCUAGGUUGUUUGUAUAAAAAAAUGUUAAAUAUAAAACUAUACUGGUGACAUACAAUUUAUUAAUUUUUUUAGUUCUUAAAUAUAAUGUUUUCAUCAGUGAUUAUUGGAUUAUUUCAUUUCAUGCAUAUGCCCAAUACAAAUAACUUAAUAAUUUAGUAAAACUUUUGUUGUCUCCCCAUGUUACAAAUAAUUAAUGGUAAAAAAUAAACUGUCUAUAAAAUUA